AGAGUUUGAUCCUGGCUCAGGACGAACGUUGGCGGCGUGCUUAACACAUGCAAGUCGAACGGUUGAGAGGUGGGAGUUGAGAAGUUAGAAGUGAGAGUAAGGUCGAAUUUCGGCUUUAGCUGAUUCUAAUCCAAAAUUCUCACAUCUGACCUCUCACAUCUCACUUCUCAAUAGCGGCGGACGGGUGAGUAACGCGUGGAUAAUCUGCCUGUAAGACAGGGAUAACGCCGGGAAACCGGUGCUAAUACCGGAUAACCUCUUUGGACCGCAUGAUUUAAAGAGAAAAGGUGGCCACUUACAGAUGAAUCCGCGUCCCAUUAGCCAGUUGGUGGGGUAAAGGCCUACCAAAGCAACGAUGGGUAGCCGGCCUGAGAGGGUGACCGGCCACACUGGAACUGAGAUACGGUCCAGACUCCUACGGGAGGCAGCAGUGGGGAAUCUUCCGCAAUGGGCGAAAGCCUGACGGAGCAACGCCGCGUGAGCGAAGAAGGUUUUCGGAUUGUAAAGCUCUGUGAUAUUGGACGAACGAUUUCCCGUAAAUAAUGGGAAAGAAUGACCUUACUACGUGCCAGCAGCCGCGGUAAUACGUAGGGGGCAAGCGUUGUCCGGAAUUAUUGGGCGUAAAGGGCGCGUAGGCGGAUCUUUAAGUCUGGUGUGAAAGAUCAGGGCUCAACCCUGAGAGUGCAUCGGAAACUGGGGAUCUUGAGGACAGGAGAGGAAAGUGGAAUUCCACGUGUAGCGGUGAAAUGCGUAGAUAUGUGGAGGAACACCAGUGGCGAAGGCGACUUUCUGGACUGUAACUGACGCUGAGGCGCGAAAGCGUGGGGAGCAAACAGGAUUAGAUACCCUGGUAGUCCACGCCGUAAACGAUGAGUGCUAGGUGUAGAGGGUAUCGACCCCUUCUGUGCCGCAGUUAACACAAUAAGCACUCCGCCUGGGGAGUACGGCCGCAAGGUUGAAACUCAAAGGAAUUGACGGGGGCCCGCACAAGCGGUGGAGCAUGUGGUUUAAUUCGACGCAACGCGAAGAACCUUACCAAGGCUUGACACACACACUGAAUCCUAUGGAAACAUGGGAGUGCCCUUCGGGGAACAGUGAGACAGGUGGUGCAUGGUUGUCGUCAGCUCGUGUCGUGAGAUGUUGGGUUAAGUCCCGCAACGAGCGCAACCCCUGUGUUUAGUUGCUAACGCGUAAGGUUGAGCAAUCAGGAGACUGCCGGUGAUAAACCGGAGGAAGGUGGGGAUGACGUCAAAUCAUCAUGCCCCUUAUGUCUUGGGCUACACACGUACUACAAUGGCCUGAACAGAGGGAAGCAAAACUGCGAAGUUAAGCGAAUCCCUUAAAACAGGUCCCAGUUCGGAUUGUAGGCUGCAACUCGCCUACAUGAAGUUGGAAUCGCUAGUAAUCGCAGGUCAGCAUACUGCGGUGAAUACGUUCCCGGGCCUUGUACACACCGCCCGUCACACCAUGGGAGUUGGAGGCGCCCGAAGCCAGUGACUCAACCGCAAGGAGAGAGCUGUCGAAGGUGAAGCCAAUGACUGGGGUGAAGUCGUAACAAGGUAACC
rnacentral:rRNA from 1 species